CCGUGUACACGGCAGAUGAUGAGCAGGAAACCAUCAACCACCACAAUUCAUACCAAUGAGAGGUAUAGAACUAGCAAGAUCCACGAUUGACUUGAGAAAAUAAAAACAAUGGAAACAUUAACUGGCCUGCAUCCAACGAACAAUGUGGCUUCAGACCCUUACUUCAGAGUUGAGACCAUGCAUGCAAUCCUGCCUCUUACAAUAAUACAUUAGACACUUAGCCC
rnacentral:lncRNA from 7 species